GGAGACUCAAGAAGUUAAAGAAAAUUUACCCAAGGUCACAGAGCUAGAAAGUGGCAGGAGUCCGGCUUCAAAAUUCAGAUGACUACACACCCCAGUUCCCUCUCAGCCAGGCCACCUUCCUUAGAGAACAACCAAACCCACACCAAAAGGUGAACACAAGCUGAAUCACCAGGACUCAUCAGCAGCGAGGCUUCCUUGGUCCUUUCCCUAGAAAUUCAG
rnacentral:lncRNA from 10 species